UAAUACGGAGGGGGCAAGCGUUGUCCGGACUCACUGGGCGUAAAGGGUGCGCAGGCGGCCCGGUGCGUCAGCACUGAAAGCGCUCGGCUUAACCGAGCGAGGCGUGCUGAUACGACCGGACUUGAGGCUCUGAGAGGGUGGCGGAACUCCUGGUGUAGUGGUGAAAUGCGUAGAGAUCAGGAAGAACACCCGUGGCGCAAGCGGCCACCUGGCAGAGACCUGACGCUGAGGCACGAAAGCGUGGGGAGCGAACCGGAUUAGAUACCCGGGUAGUCCACGCCGUAAACGAUGUCGACUGGGGGUGUGCGAGCCGUUACGGCUGGUGCGUCCCGAAGCUUACGCGCAAGUCGACCGCCUGGGAACUACGAGCGCAAGCUUA
rnacentral:rRNA from 1 species